rnacentral:rRNA from 1 species
GACGAACGCUGGCGGCGUGCCUAAUACAUGCAAGUAGGACGCAGUUGCGAACGGGUGAGUAACGCGUAGGUAACUACCUAUUAGAGGGGGAUCACUAUUGGACACGAUAGCUAAUCCCGCAUACUAGUAGAUGGACCUGCGUUGUAUUUGCUAGUAGGUAGGGUAAUGGCCUACCUAGGCAACGAUACAUAGCCGACCGGAGAGGGGGAUCGGGUAAACUGGGACUGAGACACGGCCAAGACUCCUACUGGAGGCAGCAGUAGGGAAGCUUAGGGAAUUGGGGGAACCCUGACCGAGCAAAGCCGCGUGAGUGAAGAAGGUGUUCGGAUCGUAAAGCUCUGUUGUUAAGGAAGCGGUACUUAACCAGAAAGGGACGGCUAACUACGUGCCAGAAGCCGCGGUAAUUC